rnacentral:rRNA from 1 species
ACAAGCGGUGGAGCAUGUGGUUUAAUUCGAUGCAACGCGAAGAACCUUUACCUGGUCUUGACAUCCACAGAACUUUCCAGAGAUGGAUUGGUGCCUUCGGGAACUGUGAGACAAGUGCUGCAUGGCUGUCGUCAGCUCGUGUUGUGAAAUGUUGGGUUAAGUCCCGCAACGAGCGCAACCCUUAUCCUUUGUUGCCAGCGGUCCGGCCGGGAACUCAAAGGAGACUGCCAGUGAUAAACUGGAGGAAGGUGGGAUGACGUCAAGUCAUCAUGGCCCUUACGACCAGGGCUACACACGUGCUACAAUGGCGCAUACAAAGAGAAGCGACCUCGCGAGAGCAAGCGGACCUCAUAAAGUGCGUCGUAGUCCGGAUUGGAGUCUGCAACUCGACUCCAUGAAGUCGGAAUCGCUAGUAAUCGUAGAUCAGAAUGCUACGGUGAAUACGUUCCCGGGCCUU